CCUACGGGUGGCAGCAGUGGGGAAUAUUGGACAAUGGGCGAAAGCCUGAUCCAGCCAUGCCGCGUGAGUGAUGAAGGCCCUAGGGUUGUAAAGCUCUUUCAGCGGGGAAGCGGUACCCGCAGAAGAAGCCCCGGCUAACUUCGUGCCAGCAGCCGCGGUAAUACGAAGGGGGCUAGCGUUGCUCGGAAUCACUGGGCGUAAAGCGCACGUAGGCGGCUUUCUAAGUCAGGGGUGAAAUCCCGGAGCUUAACUCCGGAACUGCCUUUGAUACUGGAAAGCUUGAGUUCGGGAGAGGUGAGUGGAACUGCGAGUGUAGAGGUGAAAUUCGUAGAUAUUCGCAAGAACACCAGUGGCGAAGGCGGCUCACUGGCCCGUCUGACGCUGAGGUGCGAAAGCGUGGGGAGCAAACAGGAUUAAUACCCUAGUAGUC
rnacentral:rRNA from 1 species